CUGGGUAGCUAUGUGUGGACGGGAUAAGUGCUGAAAGCAUCUAAGCAUGAAGCCCCCCUCAAGAUGAGAUUUCCCAUAGCGCAAGCUAGUAAGAUCCCUGAAAGAUGAUCAGGUUGAUAGGUCAGAGGUGGAAGCGUGGCGACAUGUGUAGCUGACUGAUACUAAUCGAUCGAGGACUUAACCAAAC
rnacentral:rRNA from 1 species